rfam:Schistosoma mansoni strain Puerto Rico chromosome 2, complete genome
AUCCAGCUGACGAGUACCAAAUAGGUCGAAACGCGCGUCGUGGAU